GUAGCUCAGUCGGGUAAGCGCCCGCUUCUCACGCAAGAGACGCGGGUUCGAAUCCGGCGCUGACA
rnacentral:tRNA from 1 species